CAGCAAUCAUAUUUAAAAAUAUGUUUUUAGACUAACUAAAUCUGUUUUCUUCAGUUCAUCAAUUUUUCUUUUUCACCUUGUCAACGGAGGAUAGAAUUGAAAUUGGGAACUUUUUACUCAAGAAUGGGAAAGCAUAGGAGCAAUUCGUAAUAAAAUGUUUCUUUUUUUUAUAGUAAUUUACAAGUCAGACUAACAAACAUAGAGCUGUUAAAAAUAAAUAUUUGGUAUAUACAUCUCCAGUCGUGUUUAAAAACUUGGCGUCGGAAUCGACGCAGAAUAACGACAACUGUAAAGAAAUGGAACGGAAUCAAAUUGUAACAAAAACAAAAACAGAAAUAAACAACGAACAAUAGUGGAUAACGUGUGGAUUUUUGGAAACUAUAUCUUAUCCAUUUAGAUGAGAAAUAGUUUGGAAGAUGGGUAUCGAAAAUCCCGAGUAAUUUUCGGAAUUUACUAGCCACGUGUAUUCAUAACAUACUUGGAUUUUCAUCAAUACACAGUAGAAAAUAAGAGAAAACGCUGACGGAAGAAACUGUAUCGAUUUCGUAUUGCCUGAUUCAUUUGGAACCUAGGAAUGCGGUCUGUUGUUUAAUAAUGGUUGCAUGCCUGAUUUAGCUAAAGAAGCUCCAGUCGGGACACGAAGGUAGUAAUACUGCAAUGGUUCAUCUCCCUUAAAAUAGUAGGCGUUUGUUAAGCACAUUAUUCCUCCUUGCAAAUAAACUUCAAUAAUGGAGUGAUCUACUACAGCUUCAAUUUCCAAUAUAUAAUUAUCUUCGUAAGAAGAGGGAGGAACAGAAGACGUACACCGUUCAGGAUAUAAAGGAUAUUUCCAACUAGACGAGCAUACACCCCUUUCGACGUAGACGGCACCGUCGUGGAAUCGGUAUCCAAGUUCAAAAUACUCCUUAGAGGUCUCAACAUCUGGCGUGGUAGACCAUGUCAAGCAUAAAAACUCCAUAGGGGAUUCUAAUACAAUACUUUUCGGAAUGGAAACGGCGAGGUAGAAUACAGUGGCACUAGUCCAGACAGUAGGAAAUUCACAGACACGGUUUAACAAAAGUGGAGCUGGUAGAGAAUCUGGAUAGUAAAGAUGGUGAAGAUUAACUGGACGUUGACGUAGCACAAGACCACGCGUUUCUUGAUUGAGAUGGGUGUAGCAAAGAGUAAGUUCUCGAGGAAUAGUAAACAUACCUCGAUGUUUCAUACGCAUAGGAACAUCGUUCGUAUAGUUCCAGUUACUUGCCCAAGAGAUGGAAAUGACUCUUCCAUCGGGUGCAUUACCAAACGUUUGAGUGGCAUAGCAAUCGUGACCGCAAUCCAAAAUUCUGGACGCGCUAUCAAUUGGAGUGAAGGUUUGACCAUCAAAAUCUCCAAUAAAAUAUUGAACCAUGCUACCCCCAUUGAUCGAAGAACCAGGAUUAAUGGAAACAAUCAGUACCCAUCGAAACUCGUCGGUACCCUCGAUAGGGAGACGAACAAAGUCAGGGCAUUCGUAUUGGUAUCCUAAAACGCCUGCAGAACCAAAUUCCGAAAGUUUUACCCAAUCGCGAAGGUUUAGGGAAUGGUAAAACAGAACUUUGUAUUUUUGAGCUAACACUACAACCAUGAUCCAUGCUCUACUUUCUUCAUGCCAAAACACUUUUGGGUCGCGGAACUGCGAUUCCUUGAUGUCGAGGAUGGGAUUCUUUUUGUAUUUGAUAAAUGUGAUACCUCCAUCCAAUGAGUAGGCAAUGUUUUGAGUUUCACGAUUAUCAUAAUGCGUUGUAUAAAUCAACACAAUUCUUUCUUCAGGGUCAACCGACUUUCUCGAAAAAAAUCCACUUUCAAAAAAGCCUGAUGAGUUGGUUUUAUCGAUCACUGCGCUUCCGCUAAACAUUAAUCCAUGAUCGUCUCCAGGUGCAAGGGCGGUAGGUAGUAAUUUCCAUUUAUACAGGUUUUUACUCACUGCAUGGCCCCAAUGUUGAUUACCGGCUUGGUUUCCUGUUGGAUUCCAUUGAAAAAACAAAUGCCAUUUUCCAUUACUGUAAACCAGACCAUUGGGAUCAUUCAUAAAUCCUUCUGGAGGCGUGAAAUGUAUGCAUGGUCUCACAGGCAUCGAUUCAAAUGUUUACUGUGCGUUUUAUAUGCAAACUUAAAGCUUUUAUAUUUAAUAAUGUUUGAGUAUCACUAGAACAUACAAAUUUUUAAGCUUUGUGUAAAAAGUGGUACAUCGGUCGUAUGCAAGGAAUAUUAAGCAAUUCGGUGCAAAUCAGUCAAAAAGCUCAAAUUCAAUCCGAUAGGCUUAAACAUUCUCAAUCUACCAACUCUUCAGUUUGAAACUCACAUCUAUCUAGACUAUUGCUUGAUUAACUCAACACCCACUUAGCCAAGCAAAUCAUUACGGGUUGUGUACUCGAAAUUAAAAUGUCGUCCAACUACUGUAUUUUUUACAGCAGCUACCAAAUACACACAUAUACUACGACUGUAAAAAAAAAAGAAAUUUAAAGAAAGACAAAAAGAAAAAAAAAUUAGAAGAAAAUAUACGAGAAUGUAAUGAGACUAUUCCAUCGUGUAGUACACAAGAUCUAAACGAAAAAGAACUCUUAG